GAUGAACGCUGGCGGCGUGCCUAAUACAUGCAAGUCGAGCGAACAGACGAGGAGCUUGCUCCUCUGACGUUAGCGGCGGACGGGUGAGUAACACGUGGAUAACCUACCUAUAAGACUGGGAUAACUUCGGGAAACCGGAGCUAAUACCGGAUAAUAUAUUGAACCGCAUGGUUCAAUAGUGAAAGACGGUUUUGCUGUCACUUAUAGAUGGAUCCGCGCCGCAUUAGCUAGUUGGUAAGGUAACGGCUUACCAAGGCAACGAUGCGUAGCCGACCUGAGAGGGUGGUCGGCCACACUGGAACUGAGACACGGUCCAGACUCCUACGGGAGGCAGCAGUAGGGAAUCUUCCGCAAUGGGCGAAGGCCUGACGGAGCAACGCCGCGUGAGUGAUGAAGGUCUUCGGAUCGUAAAACUCUGUUAUUAGGGAAGAACAAAUGUGUAAGUAACUAUGCACGUCUUGACGGUACCUAAGCAGAGAGCCACGGCUAACUACGUG
rnacentral:rRNA from 1 species